rnacentral:rRNA from 1 species
GACGGGGGAUGCAAGUGUUAUCCGGAAUCACUGGGCGUAAAGCGUCUGCAGGUGGUUUCCUAAGUCCACUGUUAAACCUUGAGGCUCAACCUCAAAUCUGCAUUGGAAACUAGGAGACUUGAGUAUAGUAGGGGUAGAGGGAAUUUCCAGUGGAGCGGUGAAAUUCGUAGAUAUUCGCAAGAACACCAGUGGCGAAGGCGGCCGACUGGUCCGGUUCUGACGCUGAGGCGCGAAAGCGUGGGGAGCAAACAGG